CUUCACCAGGUUCUAGUCUGGAUAAUUAGACUGGCUAUCUCAUUUUGCAGGAGAAUCAGAAAUAAUGGAACCCAGGAAGAGCAAGAUUUUUUGGAUUAGGCAUUGCAAGUAAUUCCCCAACCUAGGAAAAAGUGCUGCUCCAGCAGAAUGUUCAUAUGUUGGAUUCGUUUGUAAGUCUCACAGUACUAAUAAAUGCUGAAGGAUGCGAAGGAGCUGUUGGAACGGAAGACCCCUGGCCAGUGUAGCAUACGGCAGGGAGAAUGGAUAUGGCAUUGCAGAAGAUGAUAGUUCAUGUCCUUGGAGUCUUUUGGCGAUAGACUUGGGAGGAAUGCUGGCAUCCAGUUUUUUCCCUUUUUUGGCAAGUCUCUGUGGAGGAUCAGAUAAUAAAGUGCCAGAUGUCUACUGAGAUGCCUUAGAUGUCACUGCAGAAAAGCUUCUAGAGAUUCCAGAUUUCAUACCCCGGCAAAACAGGAAGACUCAGCAGUUCGUUACCAC
rnacentral:lncRNA from 1 species